rnacentral:rRNA from 1 species
GAUGAACGCUGGCGGCGUGCCUAAUACAUGCAAGUCGAGCGAACGGACGAGAAGCUUGCUUCUCUGAUGUUAGCGGCGGACGGGGGAGUAACACGUGGAUAACCUACCUAUAAGACUGGGAUAACUUCGGGAAACCGGAGCUAAUACCGGAUGAUAUUUUGAACCGCAGGGUUCAAAAGUGAAAGACGGUCUUGCUGUCACUUAUAGAUGGAUCCGCGCUGCAUUAGCUAGUUGGUAAGGUAACGGCUUACCAAGGCAACGAUGCAUAGCCGACCUGAGAGGGUGAUCGGCCACACUGGAACUGAGACACGGUCCAGACUCCGACGGGAGGCAGCAGUAGGGAAUCUUCCGCAAUGGGCGAAAGCCUGACGGAGCAACGCCGCGUGAGUGAUGAAGGUCUUCGGAUCGUAAAACUCUGUUAUUAGGGAAGAACAUAUGUGUAAGUAACUGUGCACAUCUUGACGGUACCUAAUCAGAAAGCCACGGCUAACUACGUG